rnacentral:rRNA from 1 species
GAUUCACUAGUGANUGGAUCNCAGCCUAACCACAUGCAAGUCGAACGAGAUCUUCGGAUCUAGUGCCGCACGGGUGCGUAACGCGUGGNAAUCUGCCCNUGGGUUCGGAAUAACAGUUAGAAAUGACUGCUAAUACCGGAUGAAGUCUACGGACCAAAGAUUAUUCGCCCCAGGGAUGAGCCCGCGUAGGAUUAGCUAGUUGGUGGGGUAAAGGCCUACCAAGGCGACGAUCCUUAGCUGGUCUGAGAGGAUGAUCAGCCACACUGGGACUGAGACACGGCCCAGACUCCUACGGGAGGCAGCAGUGGGGAAUAUUGGACAAUGGGGGCAACCCUGAUCCAGCAAUGCCGCGUGAGUGAUGAAGGCCUUCGGGUCGUAAAGCUCUUUUACCCGGGAUGAUAAUGACAGUACCGGGAGAAUAAGCCCCGGCUAACUCCGUG